AUUCCAUGAUGAGGGCACUUUCGUAAAACUCUUUCUAUCUUUCCCAUGCCUCAUACAAGGACUCAUCAUCCAUUUGUUGGAAGGUAGUGAUCUCGUUCCUCAACUU
rnacentral:snoRNA from 1 species